rnacentral:misc_RNA from 1 species
AAAUGCGAUAAGUAAUGUGAAUUGCAGAAUUCAGUGAAUCAUCGAAUCUUUGAACGCACAUUGCGCCCGCCAGUAUUCUGGCGGGCAUGCCUGUUCGAGCGUCAUUUCAACCAUCAAACCCCCGGCUUGUGUUGGGGACCUGCGGCUGCCCGCAGGCCCUGAAAAACAGUGGCGGGCUCGCUGUCACACCGAGCGUAGUAGCAUACAUUCUCGCUCAGGGCGUGCUGCGGGUUCCGGCCGUUAAACGACCUUCAUAACCCAAGGUUGACCUCGGAUCAGGUAGGAAGACCCGCUGAACUUAAGC